ensembl:snoRNA
AUAUGUGUUUCUUACACAUGAUUAAGUUUUCAAAGGCAUGUAUGAGAGUGCCUCCUUCAAAACGUGUUAUGACAUCAGCACAUUACCCAUUUGACG